rnacentral:misc_RNA from 1 species
CCGAGUUUACAACUCCCAAACCCCUGUGAACAUACCUAAUUGUUGCCUCGGCGGAUCAGCCCGGCGCCUCGGUGACACGGAUCAGGCGCCCGCCAUAGGAACCCUAACUCUGUUUCUAUAUGGAAUCUUCUGAGUAGUACCAUAAUAAAUCA